AUUGAACGCUGGCGGCAGGCCUAACACAUGCAAGUCGAGCGGAGCGGCGGACGGGUGAGUAAUGCCUAGGAAUCUGCCUGGUAGUGGGGGAUAACGUCCGGAAACGGGCGCUAAUACCGCAUACUAUCAGAUGAGACUAGGUCGGAUUAGCUAGUUGGUGGGGUAAAGGCCUACCAAGGCGACGAUCCGUAACUGGUCUGAGAGGAUGAUCAGUCACAGUGGAACGGAGACACGGUCCAGACUCCGACGGGAGGCAGCAGUGGGGAAUAUUGGACAAUGGGCGAAAGCCUGAGCCAGCAAUGCCGCGUGUAUGAAGAAGGCCUUCGGGUUGUAAAGUACUUUCAGCGGGGCGGCGUUACCCGCAGAAGAAGCACCGGCUAACUCCGUUCCAGCAGCCGCGUUAAUAC
rnacentral:rRNA from 1 species